AUUGAACGCUGGCGGCAUGCUUUACACAUGCAAGUCGAACGGCAGCACGGGCUUCGGCCUGGUGGCGAGUGGCGAACGGGUGAGUAAUGCAUCGGAACGUGCCCAUUUGUGGGGGAUAACUACGCGAAAGCGUGGCUAAUACCGCAUACGCCCUGAGGGGGAAAGCGGGGGAUUCUUCGGAACCUCGCGCAAUUGGAGCGGCCGAUGUCAGAUUAGCUUGUUGGUGAGGUAAAGGCUCAUUAAGGCGACGAUCUGUAGCGGGUCUGAGAGGAUGAUCCGCCACACUGGGACUGAGACACGGCCCAGACUCCUACGGGAGGCAGCAGUGGGGAAUUUUGGACAAUGGGGGCAACCCUGAUCCAGCCAUGCCGCGUGAGUGAAGAAGGCCUUCGGUGUAAGCUCUUCUAGCCGGGAGAAGACGCACUCUCUAACAUAGGGUGUGGAUGACGGUACCGGAAGAAGAAGCACCGGCUAACUACGUGCCAGCAGCCG
rnacentral:rRNA from 1 species